rnacentral:sRNA from 12 species
UGGAGCUGGUAAUAACAUACUACUUUGUGCCUAAAUGCUCACGAGUGGAACACUCGUUUUGAGUUUAGGAACACCACAGGUAGCACCGCCGCUCCU